rnacentral:rRNA from 1 species
ACUGAGGCCAGCCCCGAGCUUAUUUCUGCCACCGAAUACAUUAGCAUGGGAUAAUGGAAUAGGACCCUGUCCUCCUAUUUUCAGUUGGUUUAGGCAGCGCGAGGACUAGGGUAAUGAUUAAUAGGGAUAGUUGGGGGCAUUAAUAUUUAAUUGUCAGAGGUGAAAUUCUUGGAUUUAUGAAAGAUUAACUUCUGCGAAAGCAUCUGCCAAGGAUGUUUUCAUUAAUCAAGAACGAAAGUUAGGGGAUCGAAGACGAUCAGAUACCGUCGUAGUCUUAACCAUAAACGAUGCCGACCAGCGAUUAGGAGACGUUGAAUACAAAACACCGCCAUCGGUGCGGUCGUCCUUGGCGUGGCUGGUCUUUAACAAGAGGGACGCGUGGGUGGUUUCAUCCCGCCUGGCACCCACCGAUUAGAUUACCCCUC